UACGUAGGGUGCGAGCGUUACUCGGAAUUACUGGGCGUAAAGCGUGCGCAGGCGGUUCGUUGUGUCCGAUGUGAAAGCCCCGGGCUUAACCUGGGAAUGGCAUUGGAAACUGGCGAGCUUGAGUGCGGCAGAGGGGGGUGGAAUUCCGCGUGUAGCAGUGAAGUGCGUAGAGAUGCGGAGGAACACCGAUGGCGAAGGCAGCCCCCUGGGUCGACACUGACGCUCAGGCACGAAAGCGUGGGGAGCAAACAGG
rnacentral:rRNA from 1 species